GUGCCAGCCGCCGCGGUAAUACGUAGGGUGCAGGCGUUAAUCGGAAUUACUGGGCGUAAAGCGUGCGCAGGCGGCUUCCUAAGUCAGAUGUGAAAUCCCCGGGCUUAACCUGGGAACUGCGUUUGAAACUGGGGAGCUAGAGUGCGGCAGAGGGGGGUGGAAUUCCACGUGUAGCAGUGAAAUGCGUAGAUAUGUGGAGGAACACCGAUGGCGAAGGCAGCCCCCUGGGCCAGCACUGACGCUCAUGCACGAAAGCGUGGGGAGCAAACAGGAUUAGAAACCCCGGUAGUCC
rnacentral:rRNA from 1 species